UUGAGUUGCAUGUUAAAGGUAACCCUUUCUUCCCUUCUCCCAUCCCGUGCUUAAGUAUCUAUGGCUCUCCCUUUUCAACAUUUUCAACAUUCAUGCGUGAAGUUGAGGUGCUGGUAAGAUGCACCACCUUUUGUCCUGUGGCCCAAUUGCACCUUCAGCCUCAGUUCUGGAAACAGUGCUCAGAUCAUCACUGAGCUGCUUUUUAGCCAAGGCAGAGGUCCUUGCUGCAGGGUGUGAGCCUGCCUUCUCCCUUCUGCUGCAUGAGACCCAAGAGGAAGUUUUGGUUCACUCACAGCGUGAGUCUGAUGAUGAACACCUUGGAAGCUGCCGAGCUGUAUCCCAGAUCUUCUUCAGUGUUUCCUUAGAACUGCCUGGGGAUGUCCCGCAGGGAUCCCAGGACCCCUGUCCGGCUGUCCCACUGGCUUCUUUUACAGACCACUCUUUCUCCAGCUGAGGGGUUAUGAGAGGGCCUGGGAAGCUGUCCAGGGGUGCUCAGGGGACACAGAAGGCAGAGCAGAAGUCCAGGCCCUGAGCACUGCCCCUACCCGCUGAGUCACUCUGCUAACACUGGAGCGGGAGUGAGUGUCAGACUGGGCCCAGGGUGUCUUGAGUGCUGAUGAAGGAGGAGGUGAGGAGGAGGAAAACCCAGACAAAGGUUUCUGGAGGAUGGAAAAGUGGACUGAGAAUCCCUUAAUACCCGUUGCCCCUUGGCUGGUGCCCCACGGCAUCCAAGAUGCAUCCUGGCUCUGGCCUUUCCUUGGCGGGAUAUCUGCUCCAGGGAGGGAUGCCUCCCCCAACCAAGAUGGCAGCCCUCAUCUCCAUGGCAACCCCUGGACACCUGGCCUUGGUGACCAAGGAGCAAAGCAUGAGGCUCCUUUCCUGAAGCACAGACCAGCGAGGUGGUCCCUGUUUGAAGGUGGGGUCUGCAGGCCCCGUGGCCAGGAAAUCUCAGUUCUCACCACCUCUGCACCCUCCAGCUGUGUACUGCGACCAGCCCCGAAUCAGACUGAGCUGGCUCACUCAGUGUCAGAUUAGUGAGAUGAGGUGUCCCCCGAGCCAACGGUCUUGCUUCUUUGUUCUUCUCACGCGCCUUCCAGAACCUCAAACUCCCCAGGUGCAAGAUGGAGUCGCUGCCCCUGACACCCCCACUGGAUCUGCCAGGCUCGUUUUUCUGGAUCUCCCACCCCAAGGCUUGUUCUGCGGAACAGCCAUUGUAGAAACAAACAGGUCUGUUUGUUUACAGACGUUUACAGCUUUUAAAAGCAUAUCGUUUACGGUGAAUUUUCAGGACAUAAAGAUUGUAGCAAUUUACGAGAAGGUAUUUUAUUGCAGUGGAUGGAAAAUACACAAAACCAUACCAAUGUCCCUGGAAGUUUAUUUUUUUUUUUUAAACGUGUUAUGUUUUUAUUUGAGAGAGAGAGGAAGCAUGGGUGGGGAAGGGGUAGAGAGAGAGGGAGAGAAUUCCAAGCAGGCUCUGUGCCGACAGAUGUAGGGCUCGACCCCACCGACUGAGACUGUGAUGUGAGCCGAAGUCAAGAGUUGGAUGCUUAACCGACUGAGCCACCCAGGCGCCCCUGGAAAUUCAGAUGACCGAGAUCCUGUCAGAGUGGUUACCAAGCAUGGAGGCUGUGGCAACAGCCCCCUCGGGAAGUUGCUCCCACCACCUGGGUUUUUAGAGAAGGAACUUGUCCAGGAACAGGCAGCUGGCAAAAGGCGCAGAGAGGAUUUGAACGCAGUGCUCCGCCCCCAAAGCGUGUGGCCUUCACCCGUACCUCCCUGCUCUUGUGUUUUAGCCAUUGGACCUACAUCAAGAUUAAGCCCGGGGAGCGCCUGGGUGGCGCAGUCGGUUAAGCGUCCGACUUCAGCCAGGUCACGAUCUCUCGGUCCGGGAGUUCGAGCCCCGCGUCAGGCUCUGGGCUGAUGGCUCAGAGCCUGGAGCCUGUUUCCGAUUCUGUGUCUCCCUCUCUCUCUGCCCCUUCCCCAUUCAUGCUCUGUCUCUCUCUGUCCCAAAAAUAAAUAAACGUUGAAAAAAAAAAAAAAAGAAUAAGCCCGGAGACAGACAUUUUAGGUCAUUAAAAAAUUGCACACCUUGCAUAGAGAGCAGGCUGUGUUACUUUCAGUUCAAAAUAAAAUAUCACACAAUGCCCAGAUAUUAUCACUCUCUGCCCGAGUGGUUUUAGCCCUCUACCUGCGAGAUGGCUCUGGGCAGAUUCGGAUACCCUGCUUUUUUUUUUUUUUUUUUUUUCCCCUUUUGAGAUUAGAGACAGAAGGGGUGGGAGACCGCAUUUUCUAAAGUUGGCAGCAACGGUAUCUGCUAUCCACGUCCUCUUCUUCCAGUGUGACCUUGACACCUCUUCCCUUGAGUAGCGGGGCCUUCGUCUCUCCUACAUCCAAACCUAGAAGGACCUUUGUGAUUGCUUUGGCCAAAAGAGUAUGGUGUGUGACUUCUUUUUUUUUUUUUUUAUUUUUGAGACAGAGAGAGACAGAGCUUGAAUGGGGGAGGGGCAGAGAGAGAGGGAGACACAGAAUCGGAAGCAGGCUCCAGGCUCUGAGCCAUCAGCACAGAGCCCGAUGCGGGGCUCGAACUCACAGACUGUGAGAUCAUGACCUGAGCCGAAGUCGGACGCUCAACCGACUGAGCCACCCCGGCGCCCCUGGUGUGUGACUUCUGAGGCCAGACCGUAAGAAUGUCAUGCACGUCUGCCCGGCUCUCGUGGCACGCUCACUCUGGGAACUCAGCCGCCAUGUUGUGAGGAAGCCCUAUCGUCCUAUGCGCCAACCGCAUGGAGAGGCCAGUGAAGGUGUUCCAGCCGACAACCACAUCAUCUGCCAGGCAUGAGCCAAGAUGCUUCCAGAUCAUCCUAGCCCCCACCUGUCAGGUGACUCCCGAUUUUGCAUCUUUCCAGCAGAGGUCCCCGAAAUCAUGGAGCAGAGGCCACUCUCCCCACUAUGCCAGGUUCUGCACUGCAGGACCUAUGAGCGUAAUCAAAUGGAUGUUUUACAUCACUGGGUUUUGGGGUUGUUUGUUAUGAAGCAAUGGUAACUGCAACAGAAAGUAUUUGCUUACAAUCAGGUGUCUACCUCAAGGGGGAACAUCUUGCGCCCUCUCUUGGAGCAGAUGUGAUUGGCAGGGAUGGUGCCUAAUCAGCCUGAUGACUUUAUUGGAAGCAGAUUGGGUGGGCAAGCUUCCCUUGUUCUUUAGUUACAAUAAAUUAGUAUGUAUUACAC